GGGUUGGAUAUUAGUCAAUUGGUUAUCGGGUAACAACCUCGCAUUGUCAUAAUCCGAGUACUUAGUUCCCUUUUAUCACAACAAACAAUUACACACGAAUCAUGUCUAUGUGAUUCUUUCUAGUGAAUUUAAACACAAUUGUCCAAAGCAAACUAGAAAUUUAGGAUGGUCGCUUGUUCCUAAUCUGUUUACAAACUACGGUCUUUGAUUUGCAAUUUAAUUAGUUAAUUUUAGUUAUUAAAACCAAAACAAUCAAAUCUUGAAUUUUAAUUUCUGCAUUUUAGAUAUAGUUGACGGAUGCAACCCGCAUGAGUAAUUGUAGUUUAAUUACAAAGCUAUACAAUCGACAUACUUUCCACAUACUCCCUGAGUUCGAUACCCUCUUACCACUAUCUAUAGUUGUUUUUGGGAUUAAAUUUGCGUGACC
rnacentral:lncRNA from 1 species